UACGGAGGGGGCUAGCGUUGUCCGGAAUCAUUGGGGGUAAAGAGCGUGUAGGCGGCUUGUUAAGUCUUGCGUGAAAUCUCGGGGCUCAACCCCGAGCGGUCGUGAGAAACUGGCAGGCUAGAGUGCGGGAGAGGAGAGUGGAAUUCCUGGUGUAGCGGUGAAAUGCGCAGAUAUCAGGAAGAACACCCGUGGCGAAGGCGGCUCUCUGGAACGCAACUGACGCUGAGACGCGAAAGCGUGGGGAGCAAACAGG
rnacentral:rRNA from 1 species